UUAAGGUGAUAAAUAAUUUUAUCACUUUAUUUUCAAAAAAUAAGCAUAAAUUUUUUUAAAUAAUAAUUAAAAAAUUUAUUUUCUAGCUUAAAUUUGAACGUUUUAAGGAAAGAAUAAAGCCUAAACAUUAAAACUAUGAGAAUGAUUUCCAUACGUGUUCUGGUACUUAUCUCAGCUAUGAUAGGAUGUUUGCCAUCGAUUCAAGCAGGCUUUCCCGCAUUUGACUUCGGCGUCUUUUUUGGUAUGUUUGGACCUCUACCGAAUUCAACCGACUUGGUGCUUCUAAUAGAAGAUACUUACACUUCUUCACUCGAAUACGAUUGCGCUCUGUCCAUGAUAUUGAGCGCCACCUUUUUCAGGGAUUUUAAUAACCCUUUGGGUAAAAAUGGCUCCACUAUUGGGAUCGUGACUUACGGUAAAUCCUACGUGAUCACGUUAAAAAUGAGACAGGCCAUCACCUACGCUCAGAUAAUUUCGGUUCUUUCACCUACAGCCAUUUAUAACCCUAGAGUGCACAGUGUCAACGUAGCGGGCGCUUUAGCACUCGCGAAUCAAAUGUUAAAAAAGGGGGGCACGAAUACUAAGAAGAAGGUUCUGAUUUUUAUUUCUCAAAAGUCCAGCGUAGAUCCUGGUCCGAUAGCUGCUCUCAUGAAAUCGAAUCCCAGAAAAAUUAUGCCCUAAGCUCCGAGAUUUCGCUAAUAGAUGUCUAAAAACCUUUGUUCCUUCUACAAGCAAAAUCUUCAGGUUGGCGUUAUACUAUUCUAGUAAUCGACAUAAACAUUUUUGCGUCUCAGAACGCAAACUUUUUUCAAGUUGUAUCAAUGGCAUCAUCACUCACAAGUAUUCUCUAUUUUCCUAGUUUCUGCACUCCAACUAAUAUAUUAUUUCCUGGUAAAUAAAUUAAAUUUUUUUUUUGGCCUUUUUAUUUUAUUCGUAAAAUCAUAAUCUCAAUUCAAUAUUUGCUCAAUUAAUUAUUCAUUUAGCCAUAAAUAAAAAAUUAAUGAUUAUCAAGUAUAAUUUUUUUGUUGCAUAAAGCAUAAUAUAGGCAAACCAUGUAAUCAAUUUAUCAAAUGUAUUAGGCAUAAUAUUGUAUAAAUAUCUUGAUUAAACAAACUUUUAUAAUUUAAACCCUUUAUAAAAAACCCCAAAUUUUUAUAUAUUAAAAAUAUGUAAUUAUAUUUAUUAUACAAUGCUAUUUAUAUAUAUAUUUAUUUUUUUUCGCUGCAUUAUAUAAAUAUGGGGUAUUUAUUAUUUAUGUAUAUUUUCAAAACAUUGUCAAUU